rnacentral:rRNA from 1 species
CCUACGGGAGGCAGCAGUGGGGAAUUUUGGACAAUGGGGGCAACCCUGAUCCAGCCAUUCCGCGUGAGUGAAGAAGGCCUUCGGGUUGUAAAGCUCUUUCGCAAGGGAAGAAAACUUAUGAUCGAAUAAAUCAUGAGGUUGACGGUACCUUGAUAAGAAGCACCGGCUAACUACGUGCCAGCAGCCGCGGUAAUACGUAGGGUGCGAGCGUUAAUCGGAAUUACUGGGCGUAAAGCGUGCGCAGGCGGUUUUGUAAGUCGGAUGUGAAAUCCCCGGGCUCAACCUGGGAACUGCGUUCGAAACUGCAAGGCUAGAGUGUGUCAGAGGGGGGUAGAAUUCCACGUGUAGCAGUGAAAUGCGUAGAGAUGUGGAGGAAUACCAAUGGCGAAGGCAGCCCCCUGGGAUAACACUGACGCUCAUGCACGAAAGCGUGGGGAGCAAACAGGAUUAGAUACCCUGGUAGUCCACGCCCUAAACGAUGUCAACUAGUUGUUGGUAGAGUAAAAUCUAUGAGUAACGUAGCUAACGCGUGAAGUUGACCGCCUGGGGAGUACGGUCGCAAGAUUAAAACUCAAAAUGAAUUGACCGGNUGAGAGNGCGAGACGACACGAGGAGAGG